rnacentral:rRNA from 1 species
AUGGUUGGUACGGAGAUGCUCGCGGCCGCGGCUGUGAGCCAGGUCGCCCGCAAGAUCGGCGAAAUCAUCGGCGCCGCGCAGGGCGAGGUCACGCUGUGCUGCAGUUUCAGCGACGACCUGGAGAGCAUAAAGGACACUCUGGUGUACCUAGAAGACCUGCUGAAAAAUGCGGAGAGGAACUCCUUCGGAAGCGAGAGGGCAAAUCUGCGGCACUGGCUCGCCCAGAUCAAGUCCCUGGCCUUCGACAUCGAAGACAUGGUUGACGACUACUACUCUUCCAAGGAGCAGUUUGAAGGGAGCAGCAGCUAUGCUCAGAAGGGAUCAUUGUUCUGCUCACUUUCCAAUCCCGUGAUUUCGAAAGUUAGCAUGGUUCAUAAGAUGAAAUCCAAGAGAGAGUUGUUGCAGACAAGGCAACACUUGCCUAAUCAAUAUCAUUUCAUUUCACAUAUUAACUCAGUGGUGGAUUUUGAUGAGAAGCAGACAACAUCAUACAGAAAUAGUGACAUUACUCUUUUUGGGAGAGAUAGAGACUUAGAAAAUCUCAUGGACAUGAUAAUGCAGAAAAGUGUCAGUGAGAUUUCCAUUAUUUCUAUAGUAGGGCCCAUGGGUCUCGGGAAAACAAGCCUUGCGCAGCUAGUUUUCAAUGAUGCCAGAACAAAGGCAUUCAGCUUCAGGAUAUGGGUUCAUGUUUCCAUGGGUAAUGUCAGCCUUGAAAAAAUCGGGAGGGAUAUAGUUUCACAAACUACCGAAAGGAUUGAGGGAAAUAUGCAAUUACAAUCAAUUAAGAAUGAUGUUCAAACCAUACUUAAUAAGUAUAGCUGCUUAAUAGUAUUAGACAGCUUGUGGGGUAAAGAUGAAGAAGUGAAUGAGCUGAAGCAGAUGUUGCUCACUGGUAUACAGACAGAAAGCAAGAUUGUAGUGACCACCCAUAGCUAUAAAGUUGCUGAGUUGGUGUCUACUGUUCCGCCUUACAAGUUGUCUGCAUUAUCUGAAGAUGACUGUUUAAAUAUAUUUUCACAAAGGGCAAUGGCUGGGCGUGGUGACCCACUGUUCAGGGAAUACGGAGAAGAAAUUGUUAGAAGGUGUGGCGGCACACCCUUGGUUGCUAACUUUCUUGGAUCUGUUGUGAAUGCUCAACGACAGAGGCGUGAGAUUUGGAAAGCUGCCAAGGAUAAAGAAAUGUGGAAGCUAGAGGAAGAUUAUCCUGAAGACAAAAUUUCACCACUAUUUCCAUCUUUCAAGAUAAUAUAUUAUAAUAUGCCUCACGAGCUAAGAUUAUGCUUUGUAUACUGUUCAAUCUUCCCUAAAGGAUCUGUUAUAGACAAGAAAAAACUUAUUCAGCAAUGGAUUGCACUUGACAUGAUUGAGUCCAGACAUGGAACCUUACCUCUGGAUGUAACUGCUGAGAAGUAUAUUGACGAACUCAAAGCAAUAUAUUUCCUUCAAGUUAUAGAAACGCAUCAAACUGCUGGAGAAAUAUUCAAUGCAUCAGAGGAAAUGCUCUGCAUGCAUGAUUUAGCACAUGAUCUUGCUAGGUCAGUUGCUGGUGAAGAUAUCCUUGUGAUUUUGGACGCGGAGAAUGAACGCCAUAAUAGAUUUUGUGAUUACCGUUACGCACAGGUGUCAGCUUCUAGCUUACAGUCAAUAGACAGCAAGGCUUGGCCUUCUAAGGCAAGGUCACUCAUUUUCAAGACUAGUGGUACAGAAUUGGAAGAUGUCAGCGAAGUUUUUUCAGUGAACAAGUAUCUGCGCGUUCUAGAUCUUAGUGAAUGUUCUGUUAAUGAGAUACCUGCUUCUGUUUUUCAGCUGAAGCAACUGCGGUACCUUGAUGCUUCCACUUUGUCCAUUACAACACUCCCUCCUCAGUUUAGUAGCUUUAAUAAGCUACAAGCGUUGGAUCUUUCAGAAACUGAACUUAUGGAAUUGCCAUCCUUCCUCAGCAACUUAAAGGGCCUGAAUUAUUUGAAUCUCCAAGGUUGCCAGAAACUUCAGGAAUUGAAAAGCCUUGAUUUGCUGCAUGAUUUACAUUACCUAAACUUGUCAUGCUGUCCUGAAGUUAGAAGCUUCCCUGAAUCUAUUGAAAACCUCACCAAACUUCGUUUCUUGAACCUCUCACGGUGUUCUAAGCUUCCGACGUUACCUAAUAGACUACUGCAAUCAUUUGCUAGCCUUUGUUCUCUUGUAGAUCUUAACUUAAGUGGUUUUGAGUUCCAAAUGCUGCCUGAGAUUUUUGGCAACAUUUGUUCACUUCAAUAUCUGAAUCUAUCAGAAUGUUCUAAACUUGAGGAGCUCCCCCAAUCAUUUGGCCAGCUGGCAUAUUUGAAAGCCCUAAAUCUUUCAUCUUGUCCUGAUCUUAAAAUUCUCGGUUCCUUUGAAUGCCUUACUUCUCUUCAGUUUCUGAAUCUCUCAAACUGCACUAGUCUUGAAUAUCUGCCACUGUGCCUUAAAAAGCUCCAAAAUCUUGAUGUUUCUGGCUGCCAGGAUGGUAUAGUACAAUCCUGUUCUAGCAGCUCUGGAAGUUCCCCAUCUCACCAAUUUUCAGAGCAAGCUGAGCAGGUCAGAUUAAGUAUUGUUAUCUCAGAGAUCAUUCCGGAGGCGCCUGUGAUUGGAGAUCUGAAAGGAAAGAAGAAAUUAGCAUCUGCUUCAGGCUUGGAUGUAGUGCCUGAAGUUGUUACUAAGCUAAAUGAAACUGAAGACACACCACUUAUUCCAGGGCGCCCGUUCUCAUUGUCUUCAUCUCAUUCUUCGUCCUUUGCUUCAAGCUCAAGGGCACCGUUGGCAUAUGUCUCAUCUUCGGAUGUUUCAAAGAACAAUAAUUUGGUGCCGAAUGGAGAGAUAACAGGUACUCAAUCCAACGAAAAAUGCCAAGAGCCUCAGGACCUCGUAAAAGAUGCUCUGAUUACUGAAGAAAACAUAUGCUCAUUGGACACACCGGUUCAUGUGCAUGAAGUGGCCACCGUAGAAGGCGACGCUGACGGCCACGUAAUCAAAUAUAAUGGAGUAUAUCAGCACAGCGUACUAUGUGACAGGCCAAAUCAAGGGGUUGUCGUACAGCAGUCCAACUGA